rnacentral:piRNA from 1 species
UAUAGGGUGCUCUGAGGGUCUUCUCUGU